rnacentral:rRNA from 1 species
UCAUUUAGAGGAAGUAAAAGUCGUANCAAGGUCUCCGUUGGUGAACCAGCGGAGGGAUCAUUACCGAGUUUACAACUCCCAAACCCCUGUGAACAUACCAAUUGUUGCCUCGGCGGAUCAGCCCGCUCCCGGUAAAACGGGACGGCCCGCCAGAGGACCCCUAAACUCUGUUUCUAUAUGUAACUUCUGAGUAAAACCAUAAAUAAAUCAAAACUUUCAACAACGGAUCUCUUGGUUCUGGCAUCGAUGAAGAACGCAGCAAAAUGCGAUAAGUAAUGUGAAUUGCAGAAUUCAGUGAAUCAUCGAAUCUUUGAACGCACAUUGCGCCCGCCAGUAUUCUGGCGGGCAUGCCUGUUCGAGCGUCAUUUCAACCCUCAAGCCCAGCUUGGUGUUGGGACUCGCGAGUCAAAUCGCGUUCCCCAAAUUGAUUGGCGGUCACGUCGAGCUUCCAUAGCGUAGUAGUAAAACCCUCGUUACUGGUAAUCGUCGCGGCCACGCCGUUAAACCCCAACUUCUGAAUGUUGACCUCGGAUCAGGUAGGAAU